GACGAACGCUGGCGGCGUGCCUAAUACAUGCAAGUAGAACGCUGAAGAGAGGAGCUUGCUCUUCUUGGAUGAGUUGCGAACGGGUGAGUAACGCGUAGGUAACCUGCCUUGUAGCGGGGGAUAACUAUUGGAAACGAUAGCUAAUACCGCAUAACAAUGGAUGACACAUUUCAUUUAUUUGAAAGGGGCAAUUGCUCCACUAAAAGAUGGACCUGCGUUGUAUUAGCUAGUAGGUGAGGUAAUGGCUCACCUAGGCGACGAUACAUAGCCGACCUGAGAGGGUGAUCGGCCACACUGGGACUGAGACACGGCCCAGACUCCUACGGGAGGCAGCAGUAGGGAAUCUUCGGCAAUGGGGGCAACCCUGACCGAGCAACGCCGCGUGAGUGAAGAAGGUUUUCGGAUCGUAAAGCUCUGUUGUAAGUCAAGAACGGGUGUGAGAGUGGAAAGUUCACACUGUGACGGUAGCUUACCAGAAAGGGACGGCUAACUACGUG
rnacentral:rRNA from 1 species